rnacentral:rRNA from 1 species
UACGUAGGGUGCAAGCGUUAAUCGGAAUUACUGGGCGUAAAGCGUGCGCAGGCGGUUUUGUAAGUCUGUCGUGAAAUCCCCGGGCUCAACCUGGGAAUUGCGAUGGAGACUGCAAGGCUAGAAUCUGGCAGAGGGGGGUAGAAUUCCACGUGUAGCAGUGAAAUGCGUAGAGAUGUGGAGGAACACCGAUGGCGAAGGCAGCCCCCUGGGUCAAGAUUGACGCUCAUGCACGAAAGCGUGGGGAGCAAACAGGAUUACGAA